GACACAGAAAUGAAAAGAAGGGACUAAUAGGGAAUAAGACGUGUGAUCCAUGGCCCGAUGGCCCUGAUGGACGUGAAGAUCCACUGUUGUGGGAGGAGUGGAACACUAACACUGAAUGAUGGAGGCUGUGGUCAGAAACAGAUUUGUCUGAAUUUCAGUUGAUCCAGAGCAAGAAAAAUAGCUGAAUAUAACUGGCCAGUGCAGAAGAGCCUAUGAAGGUGGAAAAUGGAGGAAGGAGGACCCCAUGCUGGAGAAGUGAUGGAGAUUUGAAGCCUUGGAAGAUGGCGGCAAGGGAGAUGCCAGAGAUGAGACAAUGUUAAACAUCUGUAAUCUAACAGUCUUCUAUGGGAGUUUAUUACAUUUCCAUAUCCUAUGUUCACUUCUAGUGAAAAAUAAAAAUAAAAUCUUAAGCCCCCCACAGCUGACUAAAUGGAUCCCAUUGUGAAAGGAAAAUAUCUUGAGCCUCCAAAAUCACUAAGGAAAAUUCAAGCUGGAAACUUCUUAGGACAAACCUGCCUCCCAUUCUCUUCAAAGUUAUUCCUCUGCUCGAGGAGCUAGAUGCAUAUCUGAUUGCCGCCUUUGGAAAGGCUAACCAGAAACUCAAAAG
rnacentral:lncRNA from 1 species